CUUCGUUGAUUGAUUGACCUGCAAUGGCUUCUUCAUAAUAAUUUACUGCAUUGUGGAUCAUAAUGUUUUUUUCGGAUCUCUCUCUACUGCUUUGUUGCUAUCUCUUCUUCUCUGCUCUGCCCUGAGGCUUCUUCUUAGAUGAUUGACCUGCAGUGGCAUCUUCAUUGUAGUUUACUACGUUGUGGAUCUACUUGUUUCUGCUUCAUUGCUAUGCUCUUCUCUGCUCUGCCAUGAGACUCCUUCAUUAAUUGAUUGACAUGCUGGCUACUUCAUAAUAGUUUACUACGUUGUGGAUCUUAACGUUUUCUUCGGGUCUCUACUGCUUCGUUGUUCAUCGCUUCUCUGCUCUGCCCUGAAGCUUCUUCGUUAAUUGUUUGACCUGCAAUGGCAUCUUCAUAAUGGUUUACUACUGUAGUGAAUCUCUACUUGUUUCUACUGCUUCAUUGCUUAUCUCUGCUUCCCUGCUCUGCCCUGCCCUGAGGCUUCUUCUUAAUUGACCCCCGAUGGCAUGUAGUUUACCACAUUGUGGAUCACUACUUGCUACUGCUUCUGCUUCCUCGUACGUUUGAAAGCUUCGUCAGCCCUGAUCCUACCUUCUUCAAAACUCCUCUGGCCUGAGAGUUUCUGAGCCGUUUCAACUUUCAAG
rnacentral:lncRNA from 1 species